UAAGUGGUUGGCACAUGCUUAUUAAAAGAAUUCAAUUGUUCUUCUUAUUGCUCUAUAGAUGUUUCCCCAAGACAGUGAGCUCUGAGGACACAUGCUUGAUUCUUCCUCGCCAAGUUCUCUGCACCUGGCACCUAGUCUGCCAUGAACGGGAGCCCAGGAAAUCCUUGUGAAAUGGAUAAAGGACUGAAGUAUUUAAUGAUCCCCACCCCUUCCUCCAACACCCCCAUGGUUUAGAGGAAGCAUGUUGGGGCCCCGGCGCCUUCUAGAGACAAGCCUACCUCGAACUUCACGGAGCCUGUCUGCGUGGUGUCAAAGGCGUGGAAGAGCCAUCCCCAGAGAGAGACACUCCUGCCUGUCUAUGUGUGUAAUUCCUGUUGGAUAAAUGAUGCAGUGACUGUGUGGAGACGAUGCUCUUCUCAGUGGCAGCACAGUGCCAUGGAGCGAACAGCCAUCAGGGAGCAGACAGAACUGGGCUUGGAGAGAAGCUCUGUCACCACCUAGCUGUGUGACCACAGGCAUCUAACGCAACCUCUCUGAGCUUUACCUUCCUGUCUCUGCACAAUGUUAAACUUUCCACAUAGCCACACCAUCAAAACCACCAUCCAACCUGCCACAUGGUCAAAACUCAAUAAAGGGUGGAUCAACAGGACUCCACAAACAGCUAUUCUGGGACUUGCAUGGGAGGAAACUGCACCCCUGGUUGGCGGAGGGGCCCUGUGAGGGUCCCAUACCUGAGAAGGCUCCUGUCUGCUGCUGAAGAGGCCCAGGAAGAGCCCAAGAGGAUCUGAGACUCUGUUUCAUCAGGACCCAGGAAAGGGGUCCUGCAAGAGAUGGCUCCUGGGGUUUCUGCUGUGGCAUAAUGGGAUUGGGGCCAUCUUGGGAUUGCUGGGACAUGGGUUCAAUCCCUGGCCUGGCACAGUGGGUUAAGAAUCCAGCAUUGCUGCAGUUGCAGCUUGGGUGGCAAUUGUGGCUCAGAUCUGAUCCCUGGCCUGGGGUGGCCAAAAAAGAGAGAAAUGGCUCCUGAGAGCAGAAAGUAAGUUGGCAUGUGACACACUGGGGCCACAGCAAAAGCCUCUGAUGUCCUAAGCCUCUGGGGCCGGAGCAGGUUCCCACAGGAGUCAAGCUGGGUGACAGAGCAGCUAUGAGCCUGGCAUACAUGCUAACCUGAUUUAUAAGCACAAUUUUAUUCACCCUGCAUCCUUUUGGAUUAAUUUAUCUUAUAGUGUCCAG